GGGGCUGUGGCUUAGAGGUAGAGUGCUUGCCUACCAUGUAUGAGACACUGGGUUCAAUCCCCAGAGCCACA
rnacentral:tRNA from 1 species